GGGUCUAUAGUUCAGUCCCUGUCAUUCUCGAAUGACGGGGUAUGGUAGAAUAUCGGUCCUAGCCCCGUCGCUCGUGAGCGACGGGGUCCAAAACCGAGAUGUAAGUUCGAUCCUUACUAGACUCU
rnacentral:tRNA from 1 species